rnacentral:rRNA from 1 species
GACGAACGCUGGCGGCGUGCUUAACACAUGCAAGUCGAACGGAAAGGCCCUGCUUUUGUGGGGUGCUCGAGUGGCGAACGGGUGAGUAACACGUGAGUAACCUGCCCUUGACUUUGGGAUAACUUCAGGAAACUGGGGCUAAUACCGGAUAGGAUCUCCUGCUGCAUGGUGGGGGUUGGAAAGUUUCGGCGGUUGGGGAUGGACUCGCGGCUUAUCAGCUUGUUGGUGGGGUAGUGGCUGACCAAGGCUUUGACGGGUAGCCGGCCUGAGAGGGUGACCGGCCACAUUGGGACUGAGAGACGGCCCAGACUCCUACGGGAGGCAGCAGGGGGGAAUAUUGCACAAUGGGCGGGAGCGUGAGGCAGCAACGCCGCGUGCGGGAUGACGGGCUUCGGGUUAUAAACAGAUUUCGACUGUGACGAAGCGUGAGUGACGGUAAUGGGUAAAGAAGCACCGGCUAACUACGUG